GGUUGGGGGAGACCAAAGAAAAAGUAGAAACAAAACAGAGAUUUAGGAUAAUGACUGCAUUUUUUUCAUUAAAAUGCUAAUGAUGACCACAAAUUUCCAGAUAACUACAUUUAUGAAUUAUUCAUAGUCCCAUCCAAGAUGAGAUCUCCCUGACACUACGAGCAGGCACAGAGCUCGCUGACGAUUAGCAUGCGGCCCCUGUAAUAAGUGUGACAAGAGCACAGGUCACUGCAAGUCUAUCCAUCAGGGCUGGCCUCACUGGCCCUCUUUAGAAGUCUGGACAAUCCCACCCAUUCUUCGCGGAUGCUUUUUCAUCUCCCUCUUCCUUAACAUCAAGGAAUAGCGUCAGCCUGGAUCUUUGUUGUGACAUCUGAACUAAUAUCCUGUAAAAACUCUAAAAGCUUGGGAAAAAAAAAAAGAAAUUUUCUGUGGGUAGAUAAGAUGACAAAUCAAUUUUUUUAAAAAAACUUUUCACUGAGGUACAACAUAAAUAUAGAAAAGUACACAUACCACAAGUAGACAGUUCAAUAAAUUUUCCUAAACUGAACACAUCAGAUCAAAACCCAGAACAUUAUCUGCACCUCAGAAGCCCCCCUUCACAUCUCUUCCUAAAGGGAACUACUGUGCACAGGUCACUUUUGCCCAGUUUUGUAGACAUCAAACUGAUUUGUCGUUAUUAAAUUCUUCAUUUAAAAAACACACAUUGAACACCUCCUAUAUGCUAAGCACUGUGCUAGGCACUAGAACUGCAAAGAUGAAUAAGACACUGUUUCCGCCUUUAAUGAGAGUGAAGUCUAGUGGGGCCAGAGACACACACACAACAGACCCCAAGGGCAGUGAAAUGAGUGCAAAUACUGAGAUUUGUGUCCAGCAGGGGCACCCAGCCCAGAAAUGGAGAGGUCAGGGAAGGCAGCCAAGUAAAAGGGAUGCCUGGCAUGUCCUCAGGCUGGAUAGGAGUUAGCCAAGUUGGGAAUGGGGGAAAAGACAAUGGAAAAGGCAGAGGUAAAAAACUGUAUGUUGUAAUUCAUCUAGGGUGAGGCCAGGAAAGAAGCCUGGAGCCGGAUCGUAACCGUGUGCACAUAUUCAGGUACUCUGACUUGUCCUGGGUCAGAGCUGGGUUUGAGAUGCAUUACUCUCUCUGGAUAGAUUCAAACAGGGCAGAGUGGAGGCAGGGAGACCAGUUAGGCCAGUCUGUGUUAGGUAGGAGAGGGAGGGUGGGGAUUAGGGCAGUGGAAGUAGGUGGGGAAGGGGAAAGGAGAGAAGAAUUAGUACUUGGGAAACAUCCAGACACUAAGAGAACAACUUGGUGAUUAAGAACAUGUGGGUGGACGGGAGUGACAACUGAUGUGGAGAAUACAGGAGAAUGAAUAAGUUUAAAAGGAAGACAAGGGGUUUACUUUGAGGCACUGGAAAGUGAGGUACAGAAGAUUUGGGUAGGGAUACCCAGAUAGACUUGAGUGUGAAGCUUGGGGAAGAAACCUGAGCAAAGCAUAAAGACCUACAAGUGAUUAUGACAUAGCGAGCUGCAGAAACUAGGUUAGUGGGUGACAUCACUGAAGGAACACGGGCAGAGAGUGAAGACUAGAGGAUUAGUACUAAAAGCAGAACCCCGGAGAACAUGAACAACGAUAGAAUCGGCAGAGGAAAAAGAUCUUUUGAAAAAGACCAAGGAAGAAAGGCAGAGAGGUACCAUGGGAUACAAUGAGAUGAAUAAGGAUAAGAAAUGAAAAAUAUACCUUUAGAUUUGACACUCAAGCAGUCACUGGCCACCCCGAUGGAGGGUGGUUUCAGUGAAGUGGGGGAGGCAGAGAUAACAGAGGAAGUGGAAGAGAAGAGGAAGGAGAAUGGACAGUUGAAGGAAUCAGCAAUAAAGUGAAGGAAUCCGCAGAGAAAGCUUGAGAGUACGAGAAGGAAGAGGUAGGGAGGGGAUAAGAUUCCAAAGGAGUGGGGGAAAAGGGUCAGGAGUACAGAUGAAGGGGCUGACCUUGAAAAGGAAGGGGAAUCUACAACCCUCUGGUUUUAGAAUAAUAUUAGAAUUAUAGGAAUAAAGACAAAUCUGGUUAUAGUAAGUCUGCACCUAAUAGCAUUGGGAUCUUGGAGGCAAAAUGACAUCAAUAUUGUAGAUAAAACAGUUGGCAAGGCUCUUUGCUGAGAACGAGGUAACGUGUAAAUGGUUUGAGGAUAUAGAUCUUAAAAUCUUGGCUUAUGGCAUGCAGCUCUCCAAAACUGACGUAGCCCAACCCUGUUUUAAGGUAAAUAAACAUAUAUGCCAGUACGUAUCAAGGUGGAAAGGGGCAUCUGUGAGGGAAGCACACCUAUAGUAGAACUUAAUAAUAUCAAAAAAUACUAUAUAAGCAAAAGAUUCAGAACGUUCUUCUUCAAAUGAUCUUAGGUUUUGGAUGCCAACCUUUCCAAAGGCUUACAUACAGUUUCAUCAAGUGAACCCACUACGCACCAUCUUACAAGCCUUCUUAAGAUGCUUCAAUUCAAAGAUCCCUCCUAGCACGACUAACUUAAUGAAAAUAGAGUCACACAUUUGAAAGUAAAGGCAAGAAGAAGGGGAGAGCGGAGUUGGCAGGGGCACCUGCUCCUGAGAUUUCUUAGUGUAAUGCCUUUUAAGACAGCAGCGAUGUCACCUCACUUCAACCUCCUGCCCACUCUUCCACCUCAGGUUUUGGCAAAUUUGGAAGUGGGUGGAGUGACCUCGUUCUUGGAAAAGCACUCCAAUAAUGCCAAAAGUAGCAAAGUUUAUUAGAAAAAAUUUAAUGCAAUGGAAAAUACCUUGAAAAAGUAGAUUUUAUGUUCUCCAGGCAGCCUAUGUGAUUUCGAAAACUCUGAGGCUGCUCCACAGUUUACCUAUUCUGUUAAUGUGAACAUCUCGAGGCCAUCUUUGGAAGAUGACAGAAUUUUAGAAUUCUAAAUAAACAUGUUAUCAUCAUUGAAGUCAGCCAGGAUUGAGAUGGUUCCAAAGUCAUCUGACACCUACUAAAUGGGCCAUUCAUCUUUGUAUCCCCAGGUAUAGGACAUACAGCAAGCAGUCAAUAAAUAUGGAAUAAAUCAAUAAACAGAAACAUACGUGAAGAGUUCUCACAACUAAGAGGAUCAUCAAUAUGACUAUCAAUUACCUUGCUCUGUUGGAACAUGAAAACACUUACUCUGAGAAAAAGGAGCUGGCCCAGUAGAUGCUAGGCUGAAGCUGAGUUUAUACCACCAUGACAAGAGCUAGGUGCGGAGUUCCUACCAAAGAAACAGAACACUGAGAAUCAAAAGGAAAAGAUUGCUGAAGUUCAAACACCAAGGGAAGCACAGAUACACAUGGACUUUGGAGAGCCAAAGGUGAAAUCCGGAGUUACAGAUCCAAGUAUAGAGCCAAGAAGAAUCAAGAUCUGAGUAGAAGAUAAAUCGAUGGAAUAGAGGGAGAGUACAAGAUUGGCUUUAUGUGUGUGCUGCUGGUAACCGGACUAAACCCACCUAUAAAAGCCAGCGGCAAGACAACCUUCCAAGGCACAGAGCGCUCUUUGCUCCUCCACAAAAAGGCCACUGAUUGCUACGCUUUGGGAAAUAUUUUGUCUGUCUUUCAUAGUUUGGUUAUCUCCUCUCCCUUACCCUCAAGAGUUGAGUCUCGCUGUCAGAGCACCAACCUUUCCCUUCUUCAAGUCAGCUAUGAUUUUGGAAACCAAAUAAAAUUAAAAAGUGCAAGAGAA